UUAAAUGAAUUGACGGGGCCCGCACAAGCGGCGGAGCAUGUGGUUUAAUUCGAAGCAACGCGAAGAACCUUACCAGGUCUUGACAUCCCCUGACAACCCGAGAGAUCGGGCGUUCCCCUUCGGGGGACAGGGUGACAGGUGGUGCAUGGUUGUCGUCAGCUCGUGUCGUGAGAUGUUGGGUUAAGUCCCGCAACGAGCGCAACCCUCGACCUUAGUUGCCAGCAUUCAGUUGGGCACUCUAAGGUGACUGCCGGCUAAAAGUCGGAGGAAGGUGGGGAUGACGUCAAAUCAUCAUGCCCCUUAUGACCUGGGCUACACACGUGCUACAAUGGGCGGUACAAAGGGUCGCGAACCCGCGAGGGGGAGCCAAUCCCAAAAAGCCGCUCUCCGUUCGGAUUGCAGGCUGCAACUCGCCUGCAUGAAGCCGGAAUCGCUAGUAAUCGCGGAUCAGCAUGCCGCGGUGAAUACGUUCCCGGGCCUU
rnacentral:rRNA from 1 species